GUGCCAGCAGCCGCGGUAAAACGUAGGACACGAGCGUUAUCCGGAGUUACUGGGCGUAAAGGGCGGGUAGGCGGUGCGAUAAGACUGGUGUGAAAGCCUUCGGCUUAACCGAGGGAGGACACUGGUGACUGUCGGACUAGAGGCAGAUAGAGGGGUGUAGAAUUCCGGGUGUAGUGGUGAAAUGCGUAGAGAUCCGGAGGAAUACCAGAGGCGAAGGCGACACCCUGGGUCUGACCUGACGCUGAUCCGCGACAGCAUGGGGAGCGAACGGGAUUAGAAACCCGCGUAGUCC
rnacentral:rRNA from 1 species